rnacentral:rRNA from 1 species
AGGACGAACGCUUGCGACGUGCCUAAGAAAUGCAAGUCGAACGGGGUAGCAAUACCUAGUGGCGAACGGUCGCGUAACACGUGGGCAACCUGCCUCAGAGCGGGGGACAACAAUCCGAAAGGGUUGCUAAUACCGCAUGUGAAGGGGAAUGGCAUCAUUCCUUGUUCAAAGCUUUAUGCACUCUGAGAUGGGCCCGCGGCCUAUCAGCUAGUUGGUGGGGUAACGGCCUACCAAGGCAUCGACGGGUAGCUGGUCUGAGAGGACGAUCAGCCGGAUUGGGACUGAGAUACGGCCCAGACUCCUACGGGGGGCAGCAAUUAGGAAUCUUGCACAAUGGGGGCAACCCUGAUGCAGCGACGUCGCGUGGAGGAUGAAAUCUUUCGGGAUGUAAACUCCGUUUUAACGGGAAGAAUAAUGACGGUACCGUUGAAUAGCCCGGCUAACUACGUGCCAGCAGCCGC